rnacentral:misc_RNA from 1 species
UUGGGUGUUGCUGCUUUACCGUGGCUCACCUCAAAUGCAUUAGUGCAUCUCCAGAUUGGACAUAGUACAGCGUGAUAAAUAUCUUCGCUGGCGCCUCGCUUCAGAGGGUGGCUGAUCCAGAGCUCUGUGCUUUCAAACCGUCUUCGGACAAUAACUGACAACUUGGCCUCAAAUCGAGUAGGACUACCCGCUGAACUUAA